GUCAGCUGUUGUGUGGGUUUAAUUUAUUUCCCCAUUCUCCUUCCCCUCAAUAUCUUUUUGAUCCUAAGCAAUUUGUGAACGUUGAUGGUAUUGCAGCCCAAAUAGUUUCCAGCCAAACAUAUCGUUGCUCUGUGUGUGGCACCGCUUUUAUUUUUUUGAAAGAGCUCUACCUACCCGGUGCGUUUCCAGCGUUUUCCAUUUGGAAAUAGGGGUAGACUGCGCGCGCUGGUGAACAAGUAGAGUGACUCAACCAAGUUUCCCUUCUGUCUGAGGAAUGAGUAUACAUACCGUCGGGAGAGGACGAGCCGAAAAGCGCACGAUUGAAUGAAUAAAAUGGAAAGCCAAGACCUCGACACCGAUUUGGUGGGAAAUGUGUUGCCCGAAGCUACAACAUCUCCCCACCCGGCUCAGGACCCAAACCCCACAAAGCAAGACACUGAGGGGUUGACAAGCCACCCUAAAACAGGCCCAGCCCAGAUAAUGGAAACCUACACGAAAAAAGACAAACAAAGGAGAGUGGGGACACCCACGAAACUGGACAUCAUCCCGAAGUCACCUGCUACACCGACAUCGCCCAUGCCUGGCUCAAGGUCUAGCCCCAAACGUAAUAAAGACGCAGUGAAGUCAGAGGACAGACAGAAGCUGGCCAAGGAGCGGAGAGAGGAGAAGGCCAAAUAUCUGGACAAGCUCGGCCAGAUACAAGCGGCGAAGAAGUCCCAAUGGCUGGAGAAAGAGGAAAAGGCCCGGCAGCUGAGGGAGAGCCAGCUGGACGAGCGGCGCAGGAAGCUGGAGGAGCAGCGGAUCAAGACAGAGAAACGUCGCACUGCCCUGGAGGAGAGGCAGAAACAAAAACUAGAGAAGAACAAGGAACGGUAUGAGGCUGCCCUCCAGCGGUCCACUAAGAAGACCUGGGCUGAGAUCCGUCAGCAGAGAUUGUCCUGGGCCGGAGGCCUCAGCCAGAACUCCAGCCAGAGAGAAAGUAGAUGCUCGGCGUCGGCGGUCAACCUGCCCAAACACGUGGACUCGGUUAUAAACAAGAGACUCUCCAAGUCCUCCGCCACCCUUUGGAAUUCCCCCAACAGAACAGCCCGUAGCCUCCAGCUGAGCCCGUGGGAGAGCAGCAUUGUGGACCGACUGAUGACGCCCACCCUGUCCUUUCUGGCCCGUAGUCGCAGCGUCGCCAGCGUGCUCAGCAACGGUAAAGACCAGUCGUCCCUAUGCCCUCGUUCGGCCUCGGCCAGCCCGCUGACGCUGUGUGCCCACCGGCCCCACCACCGCUGCUCCGACCGCUGGAGGGUGACGUCCAGCACGCCCGACAUCACCCAGCGCCGACGCGACUCCACGCCGAUAGAGAAGAAAAAGAAAGAGAAGAAGGACAAGGAGCGGGAGAACGAGAAGGAGAAGAGUGCUCUCAGCAAAGACAAGGUGCUGAAGAAGAGACAGUCCUUACCCAGUAUGAGACACAAACCGGACCCCAGUCCUAGUCUCUUAUCCAGACAGCGGGCUGCCUCACCUGCCACUACUCCUAGAGCAAGACCUUCCUCCUCUUCUCCUAGCCCUGCUGCCUCCCCCAAACCUCCCUCCUCAGCCCGGGCUAGUCCCUCCACCCCCAAGGCCCGGCCCAAGAGGGCUAGGACCCCGGCCCGGGUGGACCACGGGCGCACCUCCUCCCCCGUACCCCUGGAGAGGGCCAGGGAGACCCGUGGCCGUAGGUCAGCCACGCCCGAGGAGCCCAAAGGCAAGAGCUCCCCCGUUCCUUCAAUCGUGGUAUCCUCUGCUCUGGCCACGCCCCCUUCGCUGAGUACACCAAACACGACGGCCACCACCACUCCCUCUGAGGUCCCUCCUUCUGCCCAAUCAGCCCCCAGUAUCCCUGCAUCGUCCCCAGCCCCAGCCUCCUCGUCAGCCAAGCCCAUGGCGGGCACCAACAACCCAGAGGAGGCCGCCCGGAUCCUGGCCGAGAAGAGGAGGCAGGCCCGGGAGCAGAGGGAGCGGGAGGAGCAGGAGAAACGCGAGCUGGAGGAGAGAGAGAAGGUCCUGCGAGAGGAGCGUAAGCUGCGGGAGGCGGAGGAGAGCAAGCGCAGAGAGGAGGAAGCGCGCCUCAUGGCUGAGGAGCAGCGCCUGAGAGACGAGGCCCAGCGUGUGGAUGAGGAGAAGGAAGCGCAGGAGAGAGCCAGGGCAGAACAGGAGGAGAAUGAGCGCCUACAGAAACAGAGAGAGGAGGCUGAGGCUAAGGCCAAGGAGGAGGCCGAGAAACAGCGCCUGGACAGAGAGAAACACUUCCUGAAGGAGGAGCAGGAGAGGCUGGAGAGGAAGAAGCGUCUCGAGCAGAUCAUGAAGAGGACACGCAGGACAGACGGAGGGGAAAAGAAAGACACCAAGUCCCCACCUCCCUCCCAAGUCAAUGGCAAAGAGGCCAAGAGCAACAAAGCCUCUGCUGACUACCAGCCAAGCCCAGAGAUCAACAAGAAUACAGAGAACGACCAUAGUGGUUUGAGAGACAGCUCCACGGUCCAUGUGGUCAACGGUGUCCAGCCUGCCAGACACGAGAAUGGCCUGUCUAGCAAGGGGGACACCGCACACUUUGAGGAGGUCAUCCAGCUAGCCAAUCAAGGCAACAGCAGCAACGGGGGGAGAGAGAAAUCAGAGAGUGACAUGCCCACUGAACCAAUCCUGGCCUUUGAAAGUGAUGAGCCCUUCCUGAAAAAAGUGGGCCCCAUGAAGCCUCAGCAUGUCGCAGGGCCAGGGUUCACAACGUGCCAUAAAGAGGCGCCAUGGGUUCGUAGUGUUGUCCUUGGCAACGAAGACCCGUCCAACUGAGCCGGUCGGUUUAGUGUCGUCUUAGAUGCAAGUCGUCACCCGUGCGUACGUGAGUGUCCCUGGGGAAAGAGAGGGGGAGAGAAAGGGAGGUACAGUGGGGAGAACAAGUAUUUGAUACACUGCCGAUUUUGCAGGUUUUCCCACUUACAAAUCAUGUAGCGGUCUGUAAUUUUUAUCUUCAACUGUGAGAGAUGGAAUCUAAAACAAAAAUCCAGAAAAUCACAUUGUAUGAUGUUUAAGUAAUUAAUAUGCAUUUUAUUGCAUGACAUAAGUAUUUGAUACAUCAGAAAAGCAAACUUAAUAUUUGGUACAGAAACCUUUGUUUGCAAUUACAGAGAUCAUAUGUGUCCUGUAGUUCUUGACCAGGUUUACACACACUGCAGCAGGGAUUUUAGCCCACUCCUCCAUACAGACCUUCUCCAGAUCCUUCAGGUUUCGGGGCUGUCGCUGGGCAAUACGAACUUUCAGCUCCCUCCAAAGAUUUUCUAUUGGCUUCAGGUCUGGAGACUGGCUAGGCCACUCCAGGACAUUGAGAUGCUUCUUACGGAGCCUCUCCUUAGUUGCCCUGGCUGUGUGUUUCGGGUCGUUGUCAUGCUGGAAGACCCAGCCACGACCCAUCUUCAAUGCUCUUACUGAGGGAAGGAGGUUGUUGGCCAAGAUCUCGCGAUACAUAACCCCAUCCAUCCUCCCCUCAAUACGGUGCAGUCGUCCUGUCCCCUUUGCUGAAAAGCAUCCCCAAAGAAUGAUGUUUCCACCUCCAUGCUUCACGGUUGGGAUGGUGUUCUUGGGGUUGUACUCAUCCUUCUUCCUCCAAACACGGCGAGUGGAGUUUAGACCAAAAAGCUCUAUUUUUGUCUCAUCAGACCACAUGAUCUUCUCCCAUUCCUCCUCUGGAUCAUCCAGAUGGUCAUUGGCAAACUUCAGAUGGGCCUGGACAUGCGCUGGCUUGAGCAGGGGGACCUUGCAUGCACUGCAGGAUUUUAAUCAAUGAUGGCGUAGUGUGUUACUAAUGGUUUUCUUUGAGACUGUGGUCCCAGCUCUCUUCAGGUCAUUGACCAGGUCCUGCCGUGUAGUUCUGGGCUGAUCCCUCACCUUCCUCAUGAUCAUUGAUGCCCCACAAGAGGUCCUGUGAGGUGUGCCACUCACAAAGGCGAUUCUUAGGCCCCCCCCCCCCGCACCUUCCCGAAUCCAGCCUCCACUCGUACGGGUAGAGGGCCCCCCUCUUCCCGAAGGUGCACAUCCCCAAUGACCUGUGCCAAACCAAUCACAGACUGCUUUCUAGGCCCAAAAAAGCAUAAACUUUCCCUGGGAAAAGGGCAGAAGAAGAUGAAGAAGAAGCAACAACUCUGCAUUCUGCAAAAAAGACACAAGCAAAACACAAAAACAGGAUAUGACGUCAUCGCCACCCGACAGGGUGCAUCAGUGUUACCAUUUGUAGAUGGUAGAAGAUAUUGCGGCAUCAAUUCUUCCACAGCAGUAUCAUCCAUGGUAGAUUUCAGUAGCCCUGGGGGGUAAAAAAAAAAUACACAUUUGACACAAAUGAGUAAUUGUUGAUAUUAUUAUGCUGACGAGUUGAAAGAGAAGUGAGUUGGCUUUUUGUUUCUAAUGUUUAGUUUAUUUAAGAGAAAUGUAAGGACUGGGUACAGUUGUAUGUGAAUAAUGUAAAUGAAAACGUGUGAGUUGGACUAAAUGAGGGAGGGGUCUGUGGAAUAAAUUGUGUGUGAAUUUAUGAAAGGAAUCACAAUGUUUACUUAACUCCUGCCUUUCAAGGUUUUCCCAGUAACUAAUAUGUAUUGGAAACGUAAUGAUAUGGUCUCUAUAAACAUAUUUGUAAAUGUUCUGUAAAUGGAGCUACACUGCAAAUAGAAUGUCUCCAAAAUACCGAAGAAGACGUUUGACAACGUUUUGACAAUGUAAGAAUUACAUUGUUGCAGCACAGCGUCAGUUGUCUCCAAGGAGCGCUAUAGAAAUGAACAAGGGAUCAGUUGAAUGAAAAACAGCACACACAUGGGUACUCCAGAUUCAGGAUUGGUAAACCUUGGGUCAAAUCAGUGACCCAUUCAGUUUAAUCAGUGUUGAAACAGAAUGUACACAAGGGCAUCCCAUCCCACCAUUUUAAAAAUCAGUGCAGUUUAGUUUUUUUUCUCAACCUGAGCAAGAAGCAUGAUAUGCUGCCACCUCCCAUCGAAAUUCCACAGAUUCUAAUGUGUUUGAAAAUGAAAUGCUGGUGUGUGUAUAUCUUAUAAAUACAUUUUGUUGUGUAUUGAAGGGUCAGAGGGAGUAUCGGGAGUCUUAUUAAAGAGAACAUUGUUGUCCAGUA